rnacentral:rRNA from 1 species
AAACAAGCCCUUCGGGGCUCCUUGGUGAAUCAUAAUAACUUAACGAAUCGCAUGGCCUUGCGCCGGCGAUGGUUCAUUCAAAUUUCUGCCCUAUCAACUUUCGAUGGUAGGAUAGUGGCCUACCAUGGUGGCAACGGGUAACGGGGAAUUAGGGUUCGAUUCCGGAGAGGGAGCCUGAGAAACGGCUACCACAUCCAAGGAAGGCAGCAGGCGCGCAAAUUACCCAAUCCCGACACGGGGAGGUAGUGACAAUAAAUACUGAUACGGGGCUCUUUUGGGUCUCGUAAUUGGAAUGAGUACAAUCUAAAUCCCUUAACGAGGAACAAUUGGAGGGCAAGUCUGGUGCCAGCAGCCGCGGUAAUUCCAGCUCCAAUAGCGUAUAUUAAAGUUGUUGCAGUUAAAAAGCUCGUAGUUGAACCUUGGGUCUGGCUGGCCGGUCCGCCUCACCGCGAGUACUGGUCCGGCUGGACCUUUCCUUCUGGGGAAUCUCAUGGCCUUCACUGGCUGUGGGGGGAACCAGGACUUUUACUGUGAAAAAAUUAGAGUGUUCAAAGCAGGCCUUUGCUCGAAUACAUUAGCAUGGAAUAAUAGAAUAGGACGUGCGGUUCUAUUUUGUUGGUUUCUAGGACCGCCGUAAUGGAUUAAUAGGGAUAGUCGGGGGCGUCAGUAUUCAGCUGUCAAAAGGUGAAAUUCUUGGAUUUGCCUGAANACUAACUACUGCGAAAGCCAUUCCCCAAAGGAUGUUUUCAUUAAUCAGGGAAACGAAAGUUAGGGGGAUCGAAACAACNAAUCAA